rnacentral:tRNA from 1 species
AGCCGUAUUAGUGGAAUUGGUAGACACGCAAGAUUCAAAAUCUUGUGGCUUUACGGUCGUGUCGGUUCGACCCCGACUACUGGUACCA